UACGUAGGGGGCAAGCGUUGUCCGGAUUUAUUGGGCGUAAAGAGCGUGUAGGCGGCCAUGUAGGUCCGUUGUGAAAACUCGAGGCUCAACCUCGAGACGCCGAUGGAAACCAUGUGGCUCGAGUCCGGAAGAGGAGAGUGGGAAUUCCCGGUGUAGCGGUGAAAUGCGCAGAUAUCGGGAAGAACACCCGUGGCUAAGGCGGCUCUCUAGUACGGUACUGACGCUGAGACGCGAAAGCGUGGGAGCGAACGAGG
rnacentral:rRNA from 1 species